rnacentral:rRNA from 1 species
GACGAACGCUGGCGGCAUGCCUAACACAUGCAAGUCGAACGAGACCUUCGGGUCUAGUUGCGCACGGGUGCGUAACGCGUGGGAACCUUCCCGUAGGUGCGGAAUAACUCCCCGAAAGGGGUGCUAAUACCGGAUAAUGUCUUCGGACCAAAGAUUUAUCGCCUUUGGAUGGGCCCGCGUUGGAUUAGCUAGUUGGUAGGGUAAAAGCCUACCAAGGCGACGAUCCAUAGCUGGUCUGAGAGGAUGAUCAGCCACACUGGGACUGAGACACGGCCCAGACUCCUACGGGAGGCAGCAGUGGGGAAUAUUGGACAAUGGGCGAAAGCCUGAUCCAGCAAUGCCGCGUGAGUGAUGAAGGCCUUAGGGUUGUAAAGCUCUUUUACCCGGGAUGAUAAUGACAGUACCGGGAGAAUAAGCUCCGGCUAACUCCGUG